rnacentral:lncRNA from 1 species
AUAAGUGCAGAACUACCACCGCACCCCACAAUGUACUAAUUAAGGAGGUUUUCGUGGAUUUCAUUUAAGAAACGUACACAUUCCGACUCAAUUAUCCUACAAUGCUCAGCCUUUAUACUUGUAAGACCAUCUCUCUCGAAAAAAUGUAGCCCCUCUACUUCUACCGACCUCUGGUUCCUUCAAAGUUUCUUUUAAAUGAAUGUUAACCUCGAGAAAAUCACUACCUGAAGCAAUAAUAGCGAUGGGAUACCCAAAUCAAGAGUACAUACUACGUUUCCGGCGGUAAUUGCUCAGCGCUGCUCGUUCUACAUUUCCUUAAAAAUCCUUGUCACCAUCACCAAAAAUCAAGACUCAAACUCUUGAUCGAGCAAAAAGUUACGUUGAUUUCAUUGAUUCCCAAUAAACAUCCUUGCGCUCCCAAGACAUUGCCGGGCUCUCGUGAGAGGGUCCAUCAGCUAGAUAAAUACCACUUCGCAAAAUUCGUCGGCAGAGAGGGAGGAGGUCACAACCUGCUACCUGAAUUAGCAAGAACGAUGGAGGAAUCCUCACGAGAAAUACCAGUCUCACGUGUUACCCUCAAGCAGCGAGCGCAAAAUUCUGCACAGUCUCCUGCGCCAUGCCAUGUCGAUGGCGGACUGGCAAACGAUUGCGAUUUAUGUCUUGUUCGCGAUCACAAUCAGUUACCGGUACGCCUACAACACGGUCUACUACAUUACGCCCGACACCAUCACGCUCAGAAUUGCAAGUAGCUUGAUCGCCAUCACUCAGUCACGAAAUUCCUCCAGAUUCACCUUUCACUCCUCCUCCACAUUCGACCGCACAGUACAUCCAGUCUUCGUCAGAAAUCCAUAACGAUCUGCGAUCGUGGUCGUCCGCAGUUUCGAAAAAGCAAGCAUCGAUUUGCAGCAAAUAUUACAGAAAUCGUACUCGAACCCUAGCCCUAAACCUAAUUAAAGUAGGGCUAUAGUGUCAAAGACGAUCUUCAUG